AUCAUGAACCGGUAUCUAACAAAAAGCCCAAGUCUCCAUUCUCUUCUUUCCUAGCAGCUAUGGUCCUCCAUGGACACAACUGUUUGGAACCAUUUUUCAUUCACGCUUCAGACAUGAUCCAUGUAUGUAGAGCAUGCACAUACUAUAAAAUCUUUGGGUUCUUUAAAAAUAUAAAUAGCCUCUUAGACAUAUUGUCAUACACAUUGCUUUUUUUCACUUCAUAUUCUAUCUUAGAGAUUGUUUUACAUUGGGCAUUAAAAGAAAUCGCCCUAUAAUCCCAGCAACUUGGGAAGCUGAGGCAGGAAGAUCGUAAAAUUCAAAGCCAGCCUUAGCAACUCUGAGAGAUCCUGUCUCAAAAUACAUAAAUAGAGAGACAGACAGACAGACAGAUAAAUAACAAAAGUACUGGGGAUGUAGCUCAGUGGUUAAACCUCCCUGGGUUCAAUCCCUGUUACCAUAAAUAAAUAAAUAAGAUCCUCUUGCAUUUUAAAAUGACAAUCUGAGCGCUUUGUAAAUCUAAAUGCACAUCUAGUCCAUUUCAGUUAGGAAUCAAAAACCCUACCCAAAGGAGGAGAAGGCCUUGAACUGAAUGUGUUGUUUUCUAAAGUUGUAUUUGGGCACAUUAUGGCAAAUUGUGCACAACUCUUUUCUGGGUGUGGGACAUGCUGGGGAUCAAACUCAGGCCUUAGUCAAGCUAAGCCCAUGAUCAACCACUGAGCUACACCUCCAGCCCCAUUGUGUGCAAUUUGAUGAAAACACAUGGGAACACUUGCAAAGUUUUUAAUGUGUUUUUGCACAUUACUAGCCCUUGCUGUGAUGUCCAGCCGCCAGCCCUCAGUGCUUGUCUGCUCCCGAAAAAGGCUCCAAUUUCACAUGUGCAGCUAUAGAGUUGACAUUUCCAAAACCUGGGAGAAGGUUUCUUUAUCAGCACAUUAGCAACGUGGUCUUGAGUUAGUUGCAAGUUUCAACUGCUGCCAUCAGAGCUUUUUAAUUAUGAAUGACUGUUAGCUUAGCUUAUCAUUAUCAGUUUAUUUUGUUGUGGGUCCUUGGUUAACCCUCUAGAAUAUAUUGAAGCUUAUUUGCAUCAACAGUAUUCUAGGGCUAUAAUUUUCCAAUAAGUAGAUUCUACAACAUGUAUACAUUGUGGUUCCAAUAGGAAUCAUUCUACUCCAGUGCUAAAGC
rnacentral:lncRNA from 1 species